rnacentral:rRNA from 1 species
UGAGGAAUAUUGGUCAAUGGACGAAAGUCUGAACCAGCCAUGCCGCGUGCAGGAUGACGGCUCUAUGAGUUGUAAACUGCUUUUGUAUGAGGGUAAGGUUGGGUACGUGUACCCAUUUGAAAGUAUCAUACGAAUAAGGAUCGGCUAACUCCGUGCCAGCAGCCACGGUAAUACGGAGGGUGCGAGCGUUGUCCGGAUUUAUUGGGUUUAAAGGGGCGUAGGUGGCUUUUUAAGUCAGUGGUGAAAUACAGCCGCUCAACGGUUGAGGUGCCAUUGAUACUGAAGAGCUUGAAACAAGUGGAGGUUGCCGGAAUGGAUGGUGUAGCGGUGAAAUGCAUAGAUAUCAUCCAGAACACCGAUUGCGAAGGCAGGUGACUACGUUUGAUUUGACACUGAGGCACGAAAGCAUGGGGAGCAAACA